UGAGUACGAGAUGCUACGGCAUCGAAGCAGUCUAUGUCAUACUUCCAAGAAAAGCUUGCAAUGUCAUAAACAAAUAAUGCCUGUACCAUAACCGACACAGGUGGGUAGGUAGAGUAUACUAAGGGGCGCGAGAUAACUCUCUCUAAGGAACUCGGCAAAAUGACUCCGUAACUUCGGGAGAAGGAGUGCCUUAUUUUUAUAAGGUUGCAAUAACAAGAUCCAAGCAACUGUUUACCUAAAACACAGGUCUCCGCUAAGUCGUAAGACGGUGUAUGGGGGCUGACGCCUGCCCAGUGCCAGAAGGUUAAAGAAGUUGGUUAGCAUUAGCGAAGCUGAUAACUGAAGCCCUGGUGAACGGCGGCCGUAACGAUAACGGUCCUAAGGUAGCGAAAUACCUUGUCGGGUAAGUUCCGACCCGCACGAAAGGCGUAAUGAUUUGGAUACUGUCUCGGAGAGGGGCUCGGUGAAAUAGACUUGUCUGUGAAGAUGCGGACUACCUGCACCUGGACAGAAAGACCCUAUGAAGCUUUACUGUAACUCGAGAUUGAAAUUGGACUUUAUCUGCGCAGUAUAGGUGGAAGACGUUGAAAAUAUUCUUGCGGGAAUAUUGGAGUCAUCAGUGAGAUACCACUCUUAUAAUGUUAGAUUUCUAACUUUGUAUCAUUAUCUGGUCAAAGAACAGUUUCAGGCGGGCAGUUUGACUGGGGCGGUCGCCUCCCAAACGGUAACGGAGGCGCACAAAGGUUUCCUCUGAACGUGUAGAAAUCGUAUCUAGAGUGUAAAGGCAUAAGGAAGCUUGACUGUGAGACCUACAAGUCGAGCAGGGACGAAAGUCGGUCUUAGUGAUCUGACGGUGCUGAGUGGAAAGGCCGUCACUCAACGGAUAAAAGUUACUCUAGGAUAACAGGCUGAUCUCCCCCAAGAGUUCACAUCGACGGGGAGGUUUGGCACCUCGAUGUCGGCUCAUCGCAUCCUGGGGCGGUAGUACGUCCCAAGGGUUGGGCUGUUCGCCCAUGAAAGCGGUACGCGAGCUGGGUUCAGAACGUCGUGAGACAGUUCGGUCCAUAUCCGGUGUAGGCGUUAGAAUAUUGAGAGGAGCCUUCUUUAGUACGAGAGGACCGAGAAGGACAUACCUCUGGUGUACCAGUUAUCGUGCCAACGGUAAACGCUGGGUAGCCAUGUAUGGAGAGGAUAACCGCUGAAAGCAUCUAAGUGGGAAGCCCACCUCAAGAUAAGUAUUCUC
rnacentral:rRNA from 1 species